AAGGACCUGCGAAUAUGGAGCCAUAUACAAUAAACAUAAGAUUUUUAUAAAGCAAACGCAAAAACAGGGCUAGGAGACGGCAGAGGGUGCUGAACAGAAAACGGAGCUGGAUGAGGUUGAGCAUAAGAAACAAAUUAGUAAUUGUUUCAGAUAGUAAGGGAUACUUGCCCAUCAUCAUGGCUAGUCCAAAUGACUGAGGAAAAAGAUGAGACUUGCGGUGUAACAUGGGAUGCACCAACAUUCCCUUCUAGUUGGAAUGCACUAAAAGAGUAGGUGUUAAUCACUUAUAGUGUGUGUGUCAAUCAAUCACUAGGUAUAUGUUAGUUAGUCAUUGUGUACUUGUGUAAAUGGUCUUGAAUAUUGUGCAUGUUGUUAUAUUGACGUCCUUGCUAGUGAUGACAUCAAGUAGUAUGGGAUGCUUGAUUGUUGUAAUAGAUGAUGAUGGAUUGGGAAAGGGAUGGGACUCGUAGUGUAGUAUGGGAUGUAUCAACCUUCCUUUUCCAGAUGGGAUUUGCUUAUGAGCUUCUGUCUUAGUGAACUGGGUAUUGGAAUGAUGCAUACAAUAGGUUGUAUCUGCUUCCAUGGUGCCGAUUGUUCAUGUAAAUAUGUGAUGCAUGUGUGAAUUGUUCACAUGGGAUAUAUGUGAUGUAUGCUUAAGCUAGUUAUUAUUCUA